CAUGGCACCGCUCAUCAGGCCACGUUGAGGCAGCAUCCCACAUGCCACAACUAGAAGUACCCAUAAGUAGAAUAUACAACUAUGUACUGGGGGGAUUUGGGGAGAAAAAGCAAUAAAAACAAAAAAGAUUGGCAACAGUUGUUAGCUCAGGUGCCAAUCUUUAAAAAAAAAAAAAAAAGGUGCCAACAGGGAGGAGCAGAGAAAGCUCAGGUCACCAUAUGGCACUCGGUGCCUCAGGGAGUGAUAAUACAUGGAGUUAAUGAGAGGUGGGGAUAAAGAUUAACUAAAGACUAACAAGACCAUAGAAUUUAUUGCCCAAACAAGGCCAGGACAAUUUGGGGAGUGAAAGUGGGGACUAUGAAUAAUCAUACCAGGCAACUCAGCACAUAGGGGCUCUCCACCAAGAGCAAACAAUGCUAGAGCUGAACGUUGGCUCUCAUCAAGCCAUUGAGGCUAAGGGUUCAGGCUGUGGAGUCAACUGCCUUGGUUCAAACACGAACACUGCUACUUACUGACUGUGUGAUCUUGGGCAGGUUGUUUAACCUCUCUGUGCUGUGGGAAGCUGAGGCAGCUUUCCACAUGCCACAACUAGAGGGACCCACAAGUAGAAUACACAAUUAUGUACUGGGAGGAUUUGGGAAGAAAAAGCAGAAAGAAAAAAAUUUUUUUCUUGAAAUAAAGUGAAAUAACACUUGAUGGAGUUGAUAAACAAAAAUCUCAUUAAUUGCAAUGUCACUAAUUAAAAAAAAUUGUGUGGUUACUUGAACCAGUGUGAAGUAAAGUUAUGCAUACAAAAUUUGUGAUGAUCAUGCAUGUAAGUAUAAAUUUCCAAUAAUCCAGAUUACAGUUGGAAAAAUUAAACUCUAGGAGGAAGAACUUUCUAUGCCUUGUAGAAUAAACCUUUCAAUAUUCAUAUGUAACUAUUCUGCCAUUUUAUUAAAGCAGGAAACCUCAACAUUGAGGCAGUCCUUUCGCUGGUUUCAGAGUACUGACUCCUUCUUUCAUUUUGGCAUUUCAGAACCUUGGUGUGAUUUCCCACCAUUUUUAUUUUCUAGCCUCUUCAAUUUAUGAGCAUUCACUCUGAUCAUACUAGUUACAAUUCAUCCCUGAC
rnacentral:lncRNA from 1 species